CCUACGGGAGGCUGCAGUGGGGAAUCUUGCCCAAUGGGCGAAAGCCUGAGGCAGCAACGCCGCGUGCGGGAAGACGGCCCUCGGGUUGUAAACCGCUUUCAGCGGGGACGAAGCCGAGCGGGUUAAUAGCCCGUCUCGGUGACGGUACCUGCAGAAGAAGUCCCGGCUAACUACGUGCCAGCAGCCGCGGUAAUACGUAGGGGACGAGCGUUGUCCGGAAUCAUUGGGCGUAAAGAGCGUGUAGGCGGCCUAUCAAGUCCUGCGUGAAAUCUCGGGGCUCAACCCCGAGCGGUCGUGGGAAACUGGCAGGCUAGAGUGCGGGAGAGGAGAGUGGAAUUCCCAGUGUAGCGGUGAAAUGCGCAGAUAUUGGGAAGAACACCCGUGGCGAAGGCGGCUCUCUGGAACGCAACUGACGCUGAGACGCGAAAGCGUGGGGAGCA
rnacentral:rRNA from 1 species